rnacentral:rRNA from 1 species
UACGUAGGGGGCAAGCGUUGUCCGGAUUUAUUGGGCGUAAAGAGCGUGUAGGCGGUUAGGUAGGUCCGUUGUGAAAACUCGAGGCUCAACCUCGAGACGCCGAUGGAAACCAUCUGACUAGAGUCCGGAAGAGGAGAGUGGAAUUCCGUGGUGUAGCGGUGAAAUGCGCAGAUAUCAGGAAGAACACCCGUGGCUAAGGCGGCUCUCUAGUACGUGACUGACGCUGAGACGCGGAAAGCGUGGGGAGCGAACAGG